rnacentral:rRNA from 1 species
UAUUGGAGAGUUUGAUCCUGGCUCAGGACGAACGCUGGCGGCGUGCUUAACACAUGCAAGUCACGGGGGCCCGCAAGGGUAACCGGCGAACGGGUGCGUAACACGUGAACAAUCUGCCUAGAUGUGGGGGAUAGCCGGCCCAACGGCCGGGUAAUACCGCAUACGCUCUUCGGGUGGCAUCACUUGAAGAGGAAACCUCCGGGGCAUCUAGAGGAGUUCGCGGCCUAUCAGCUAGUUGGUGGGGUAACGGCCUACCAAGGCAAUGACGGGUAGCUGGUCUGAGAGGAUGGCCAGCCACAUUGGGACUGAGAUACGGCCCAGACUCCUACGGGAGGCAGCAGUGGGGAAUAUUGCGCAAUGGCCGAAAGGCUGACGCAGCGACGCCGCGUGGGGGAUGAAGCAUUUCGGUGUGUAAACCCCUGUUGCCCGGGACGAACAAGCGAUUUUGAUCGCUCUGACGGUACCGGGUGAGGAAGCACCGGCUAACUCCGUGCCAGCAGCCGCGGUAAUACGGAGGGUGCGAGCGUUGUCCGGAAUCACUGGGCGUAAAGGGCGCGUAGGCGGUCUGCUAAGCGUGUGGUGAAAGCUCGGGGCUCAACCCCGAGUCUGCCAUGCGAACUGGUGGACUAGAGCACUGUAGAGGCAGGUGGAAUUCCGGGUGUAGCGGUGGAAUGCGUAGAGAUCCGGAAGAACACCAGUGGCGAAGGCGGCCUGCUGGGCAGUAGCUGACGCUGAGGCGCGAUAGCGUGGGGAGCAAACAGGAUUAGAUACCCUGGUAGUCCACGCCGUAAACGAUGGGGACUAGGUGCUUGGGGGAGCGACCCCUCGAGUGCCGGCGCUAACGCAUUAAGUCCCCCGCCUGGGGAGUACGACCGCAAGGUUGAAACUCAAAGGAAUUGACGGGGGCCC